rnacentral:rRNA from 1 species
AUGGCUAUCAUGUUCAAGGACUUGAAGAAGGAUGUUCUCCGCAUCGACUCCAUUCAGUCAACCUCACUUGAUGCGAUGAAGGAGUGGAUUGACACCACUGAUCUCAAGUACUUUCAGAGCAGGCUGUAUCUGAACUGGCGCCCUAUGCUAAAGACUAUCAUUGAUGAUCCUCAGAAGUUUGUUGACGAUGGUGGCUGGGAGUUCCUGAACAUGGAGGCAAGCGAUUCCGGGGAAGAUGAAACGGAGGAAUCAGACCAGGGGUACGAGCCUUCUACUGCUGAGCUCGAGUCUGAAUUAGAAGACGAAGACUCCGACAGCGCGUCCUUGGUGGAAUCAGACGAGAAUGAGGAAGAGGAUUGA